AAGCUCGACGACAAUGAUGUUGUGUCUUACAUCCUUGCCAGACUGGAUGCAGACUACAACCCAUUUGUCUCCUCAAUCACUAGAAAGGAUGAGAUUUCCUUGAGUGAUUUGUAUGCGCAAUUUCUUCUGUAUGAAGC